rnacentral:rRNA from 1 species
GGUUAAGCGACUAAGCGUACACGGUGGAUGCCCUGGCAGUCAGAGGCGAUGAAGGACGUGCUAAUCUGCGAAAAGCGCCGGCGAGGUGAUAUGAACCUUUGACCCGGCGAUGUCCGAAUGGGGAAACCCAGUGUGAUUCGUCACACUAUCGUUAACUGAAUACAUAGGUUAACGAGGCGAACCGGGGGAACUGAAACAUCUAAGUACCCCGAGGAAAAGAAAUCAACCGAGAUUCCCCCAGUAGCGGCGAGCGAACGGGGAGCAGCCCAGAGUCUGAAUCAGCUUGUGUGUUAGUGGAAGCGUCUGGAAAGUCGCACGGUACAGGGUGACAGUCCCGUACACGAAAAUGCACAGGUUGUGAACUCGAAGAGUAGGGCGGGACACGUGGUAUCCUGUCUGAAUAUGGGGGGACCAUCCUCCAAGGCUAAAUACUCCUGACUGACCGAUAGUGAACCAGUACCGUGAGGGAAAGGCGAAAAGAACCCCGGCGAGGGGAGUGAAAAAGAACCUGAAACCGUGUACGUACAAGCAGUGGGAGCACCUUCGUGGUGUGACUGCGUACCUUUUGUAUAAUGGGUCAGCGACUUAUAUUCUGUAGCAAGGUUAACCGUAUAGGGGAGCCGAAGGGAAACCGAGUCUUAACUGGGCGUUAAGUUGCAGGGUAUAGACCCGAAACCCGGUGAUCUAGCCAUGGGCAGGUUGAAGGUUGGGUAACACUAACUGGAGGACCGAACCGACUAAUGUUGAAAAAUUAGCGGAUGACUUGUGGCUGGGGGUGAAAGGCCAAUCAAACCGGGAGAUAGCUGGUUCUCCCCGAAAGCUAUUUAGGUAGCGCCUCGUGAACUCAUCUUCGGGGGUAGAGCACUGUUUCGGCUAGGGGGCCAUCCCGGCUUACCAACCCGAUGCAAACUACGAAUACCGAAGAAUGUUAUCACGGGAGACACACGGCGGGUGCUAACGUCCGUCGUGAAGAGGGAAACAACCCAGACCGCCAGCUAAGGUCCCAAAGUCAUGGUUAAGUGGGAAACGAUGUGGGAAGGCACAGACAGCCAGGAUGUUGGCUUAGAAGCAGCCAUCAUUUAAAGAAAGCGUAAUAGCUCACUGGUCGAGUCGGCCUGCGCGGAAGAUGUAACGGGGCUAAACCAUGCACCGAAGCUGCGGCAGCGACGCUUAGGCGUUGUUGGGUAGGGGAGCGUUCUGUAAGCCGUUGAAGGUGUGCUGUGAGGCAUGCUGGAGGUAUCAGAAGUGCGAAUGCUGACAUAAGUAACGAUAAAGCGGGUGAAAAGCCCGCUCGCCGGAAGACCAAGGGUUCCUGUCCAACGUUAAUCGGGGCAGGGUGAGUCGACCCCUAAGGCGAGGCCGAAAGGCGUAGUCGAUGGGAAACAGGUUAAUAUUCCUGUACUUGGUGUUACUGCGAAGGGGGGACGGAGAAGGCUAUGUUAGCCGGGCGACGGUUGUCCCGGUUUAAGCAUGUAGGCGGAGGUUCCAGGUAAAUCCGGUACCUUUUAACGCUGAGGUGUGAUGACGAGGCACUACGGUGCUGAAGUAACAAAUGCCCUGCUUCCAGGAAAAGCCUCUAAGCAUCAGGUAACAUCAAAUCGUACCCCAAACCGACACAGGUGGUCAGGUAGAGAAUACCAAGGCGCUUGAGAGAACUCGGGUGAAGGAACUAGGCAAAAUGGUGCCGUAACUUCGGGAGAAGGCACGCUGAUAUGUAGGUGAAGCCCCUGCGGGUGGAGCUGAAAUCAGUCGAAGAUACCAGCUGGCUGCAACUGUUUAUUAAAAACACAGCACUGUGCAAACACGAAAGUGGACGUAUACGGUGUGACGCCUGCCCGGUGCCGGAAGGUUAAUUGAUGGGGUUAGCGGUAACGCGAAGCUCUUGAUCGAAGCCCCGGUAAACGGCGGCCGUAACUAUAACGGUCCUAAGGUAGCGAAAUUCCUUGUCGGGUAAGUUCCGACCUGCACGAAUGGCGUAAUGAUGGCCAGGCUGUCUCCACCCGAGACUCAGUGAAAUUGAACUCGCUGUGAAGAUGCAGUGUACCCGCGGCAAGACGGAAAGACCCCGUGAACCUUUACUAUAGCUUGACACUGAACACUGGUCCUUGAUGUGUAGGAUAGGUGGGAGGCUUUGAAGCGUGGACGCCAGUCUGCGUGGAGCCAACCUUGAAAUACCACCCUUUAAUGGCUGGUGUUCUAACGUAGACCCGUAAUCCGGGUUGCGGACAGUGUCUGGUGGGUAGUUUGACUGGGGCGGUCUCCUCCCAAAGAGUAACGGAGGAGCACGAAGGUUAGCUAAUCCUGGUCGGACAUCAGGAGGUUAGUGCAAUGGCAUAAGCUAGCUUGACUGCGAGAGUGACGGCUCGAGCAGGUGCGAAAGCAGGUCAUAGUGAUCCGGUGGUUCUGAAUGGAAGGGCCAUCGCUCAACGGAUAAAAGGUACUCCGGGGAUAACAGGCUGAUACCGCCCAAGAGUUCAUAUCGACGGCGGUGUUUGGCACCUCGAUGUCGGCUCAUCACAUCCUGGGGCUGAAGUAGGUCCCAAGGGUAUGGCUGUUCGCCAUUUAAAGUGGUACGCGAGCUGGGUUUAGAACGUCGUGAGACAGUUCGGUCCCUAUCUGCCGUGGGCGCUGGAGAAUUGAGGGGGGCUGCUCCUAGUACGAGAGGACCGGAGUGGACGCAUCACUGGUGUUCGGGUUGUCAUGCCAAUGGCACUGCCCGGUAGCUAAAUGCGGAAAAGAUAAGUGCUGAAAGCAUCUAAGCACGAAACUUGCCCCGAGAUGAGUUCUCCCUGACCCUUUAAGGGUCCUGAAGGAACGUUGAAGACUACGACGUUGAUAGGUCGGGUGUGUAAGCGCAGCGAUGCGUUGAGCUAACCGAUACUAAUGAACCGUGAGGCUUAACCUU